rnacentral:rRNA from 1 species
CCUACGGGAGGCAGCAGUGAGGAAUAUUGGUCAAUGGACGAGAGUCUGAACCAGCCAAGUAGCGUGAAGGAUGACUGCCCUAUGGGUUGUAAACUUCUUUUAUAUGGGAAUAAAACGUUCCACGUGUGGGAUUUUGUAUGUACCAUAUGAAUAAGGAUCGGCUAACUCCGUGCCAGCAGCCGCGGUAAUACGGAGGAUCCGAGCGUUAUCCGGAUUUAUUGGGUUUAAAGGGAGCGUAGGUGGAUUGUUAAGUCAGUUGUGAAAGUUUGCGGCUCAACCGUAAAAUUGCAGUUGAAACUGGCAGUCUUGAGUGCAGUAGAGGUAGGCGGAAUUCGUGGUGUAGCGGUGAAAUGCUUAGAUAUCACGAAGAACUCCGAUUGCGAAGGCAGUUCACUGGACUGCAACUGACACUGAGGCUCGAAAGUGUGGGUAUCAAACAGGAUUAGAUACCCUUGUAGUC